rnacentral:rRNA from 1 species
AGUGAACGCUGGCGGUAGGCCUAACACAUGCAAGUCGAACGGCAGCACAGUAAGAGCUUGCUCUUACGGGUGGCGAGUGGCGGACGGGUGAGGAAUACAUCGGAAUCUACUUUUUCGUGGGGGAUAACGUAGGGAAACUUACGCUAAUACCGCAUACGACCUACGGGUGAAAGCAGGGGAUCUUCGGACCUUGCGCGAUUGAAUGCGCCGAUGUCGGAUUAGCUAGUUGGCGGGGUAAAGGCCUACCAAGGCGACGAUCCGUAGCUGGUCUGAGAGGAUGAUCAGCCACACUGGAACUGAGACACGGUCCAGACUCCUACGGGAGGCAGCAGUGGGGAAUAUUGGACAAUGGGCGCAAGCCUGAUCCAACCAUACCGAGUGGGUGAAGAAGGCCUUCGGGUUGUAAAGCCCUUUUGUUGGGAAAGAAAAGCAGCAGGUUAAUACCCCGCUGUUCUGACGGUACCCAAAGAAUAAGCACCGGCUAACUUCGUG